rnacentral:rRNA from 1 species
CGCUGGCGGCGUGCCUAACACAUGCAAGUCGAGCGAGGAGAUUCCUUCGGGAUGAUCCGUAGCGGCGGACGGGUGAGUAACACGUGGGCAACCUGCCUCAUAGAGAGGAAUAGCCUUCCGAAAGGGAGAUUAAUACCUCAUAACAUUGCAGUUUCGCAUGGAACAGCAAUUAAAGGAGUAAUCCGCUAUGAGAUGGGCCCGCGGCGCAUUAGCUAGUUGGUGAGGUAACGGCUCACCAAGGCGACGAUGCGUAGCCGACCUGAGAGGGUGAUCGGCCACAUUGGGACUGAGACACGGCCCAGACUCCUACGGGAGGCAGCAGUGGGGAAUAUUGCACAAUGGGGGAAACCCUGAUGCAGCAACGCCGCGUGAGUGAUGACGGCCUUCGGGUUGUAAAGCUCUGUCUUCAGGGACGAUAAUGACGGUACCUGAGGAGGAAGCCACGGCUAACUACGUGCCAGCCGCGGC